rnacentral:rRNA from 1 species
AGUGAACGCUGGCGGUAGGCCUAACACAUGCAAGUCGAACGGCAGCACAGUAAGAGCUUGCUCUUACGGGUGGCGAGUGGCGGACGGGUGAGGAAUACAUCGGAAUCUACUUUUUCGUGGGGGAUAACGUAGGGAAACUUACGCUAAUACAGCAUACGACCUACGGGUGAAAGCAGGGGAUCUUCGGACCUUGCGCGAUUGAAUGAGCCGAUGUCGGAUUAGCUAGUUGGCGGGGUAAAGGCCCACCAAGGCGACGAUCCGUAGCUGGUCUGAGAGGAUGAUCAGCCACACUGUAACUGAGACACGUUCCAGACUCCCACGCGAGGCAGCAGUGGGGAAUAUUGGACAAUGGGCGCAAGCCUGAUCCAGCCAUACCGCGUGGGUGAAGAAGGCCUUCGGGUUGUAAAGCCCUUUUGUUGUUAAAGAAAAGCAGCAGGUUAAUACCCCGCUGUUCUGACGGUACCCAAAGAAUAAGCACCGGCUAACUUCGUG